UGUCGGAGGCCAGAGGCUCCUUGAAGGGUGUACACUGUAGGUUAAGACACUUUAGCACACACCCAGGAGCAAUAGCAAGGCCAGGGGAAAAGUCACUGUCACCUAUCCAGCUAGGGAGGACUCCCUGGGAUCCUAGCAACCCCAGGAAGGGGGAAGAGUCUAGACCAGCCCUGAGUCCCCGAGACAAGGUCAUGUCCCUACAGCUAGAACAGGGAAAGGAGGCAGAAAGAAGGGUAAGGGCAGGGCUGACUCGGUCAGGAGCAGGGCUAGACAAUGCAGAGCCUGACUGGUGGAAGGGGGUCAGCAGUGAGUCAGAGGUUCUCUGGGGUCAGAAUGGAAAGGGUAAGAAAGAAGUUCUGAAGGCGCCUGUCAAAACGCCGAAUGUCAGAAGGGCACGUAGUGGGGCGUCUGAGGUAGCCCAAGAGGUAAAGAGGGGGGAUGAACGCUGAGCCAAGGUGGUGCCCGGAGGGGGAUGGGCAUGUGGCCGCGGUGGCGGGGCGCGCCGGGUUCCCGCGACCACCGAGCGUGGCCCUCACCUGCGCGGGCUCUCGACGAGACGGCGGUGGGCACUCGAGCGGAGGACGCUAAACCGACCAGUGCCCUUCUUCACGAACAGCCUCGGCUAGGGCCGCUGUUGGCCUAAUAUAGAGCCGGGGGUGACCGCUGCGCAUGCGCUGUGGGUGCGGCCUGCCGCGCGCACGCGCACCGGAGUCGGCCCGGCAGGGUGCCAGGUCCCUCUGUGUGGGCUCUGCUCCAACUCUUGUGACUAUGUCUUAGGCCUACGCUGCCUGAGCCAGGAGAGCAGGGCAGUGGACGGGCAAGUCCCUUUUUGGAUCUCUACCCUUCGUCCCUCUUUCACCUUCCACGAACAGCCCUGUGCGUCAGACUCCUGGGCCCCCGGCGUAGGUCGUAAACCAAACCCACCCUGGUAAAAAGGUUUAUUGGGCGCACAGGAAGGGGUUUCACGCCAGGGUCUUAAGAUCAGAUCAACGAGGGGCUUGCUUGGUUUUGUUUGCAUCGAUGACAGGGAUUCUUUACUUGAUGAAUGGCCCAAGAAUAGAAUGGUCCUGGUGAAGAGAUGCUAAGGGGCUGCAGACACGGGAUUGAAGAAGCAGCCGCAGAAGGGUGAUACGUUCUGAUCCGAAUUGAAGAAAAGAGAGAGCAGGGAACAGAGGAACUGACUAGAUGGAGCUCAUAGCUCCACAGUUCUAGUCACCCAGAUGGUGAGGGUGUCAUGACAGCACAGGGCCUGACACAGGAUUGAACAGCUAAAUUAUCUUGUUUUUUAAUUUGAGACAAGGUCUCAUGUAGUCACACCAUACUGUCCUCAAAGUUGCUAUGUAGCCAACCUUGGAGGCAUCCUGUCUCUACCUCCCCAGUGCUGGGAUUGCAGGUAGGAGCCGCCAUGCCUACAGGAUGCAGCACUGAGGAUGGAAUCUAGGGUCUUCUGCAUGCUUGGCAAAGACUACCCUUAUUGAACUGCGUCCCUGACCCCGUUUUUGUGUCAUUUUGUUGAAUCAGGGUCUCACUUUGUGGACCAGGAUGGCUUCCAACUUUGCCAGAUUCCCGCUUCUGUUUCAAACACUGGGAAUCAUAACCCGGGCCACAACACUUAAUUAGCCCUUGUUUGUGUUUUGUUUUUAUACGGAGCAUAGUCCAAAGUCCUUGCUGGUUGUAAUGCACACCAACUGAGAGGUCUAGCUCUCUGUGUUAAUCCAAAAGAUGAGAGGAGAAAGACCACUGACCCAAAUCAUCAUGGCCAAAUUUAUUAAAGCAGGCGAGCAAUUAAAGCAAGCUUUUGUUACUUGGAUACAUAGGCUGCCUUCCCCUAAGGCGCUGACUGAGAGGUCAGUACUGGACAGAAGGAAGACGAGGUGUUUAUAGCUCAGUUGUAGGGUGUGUCCAAAUGGGGAAUUUGGUGGGCAAAAUCGGCAGGAUUAGAGGAGCAGGACAUAAUCAUAACAAGUUAGUCAUAAGGAUCUCCUGAAAGAAAGACAUGAUUACAAGGUGGUCAUAAGGUAGUCAUGACAACAGAUAGACACAACAACCUUUUGAAAUAAAGGUAGGGUUGCAAGGUGGUUAUAGCUUUUUAAAACAAAGAUCUGGUUGCAUUUCCUGGAACAGUCAGUACAGAACCAUCUGUAGUUAAGGUUACAGGUGGGGCCUCGCUCAGUCCUUGAGAAACAGAGGUUUAAUCAUGAACAGGAAUGAGCCUAGUUUGUCUUUACUCUAAGGUGGCUUUGAAGCCUAAGGUGGAGGAGGCAGACUGGUUCAUCACCUGGAGUGCAGAGCUGAGUCCUGGCUCCUUUGAAGCUCCUGAGACCUCACCUGAGGGGUAAGGCUUGGCAGUCUCUCAGGCACGCCAACCUGACCUCCUCACUCCACACCCUCCUCAACUUGCCCCAGACUGGGUUAGGCUGGAUCUGUGCCAGGCCAAGAGCUGCCGGCCUGCAACUGGAGAAAGAACCAUUCUGGUAGCAUCUUUCCAGCUGGACAUGAAUAAGAAGGACAGAGUCCAGAAAGAUAAAGAUGGGGGUGUGCCCGAGUACUUCCUGAUUUCCCUUCGAAUCCCCCGCUUAGCUGUAAGACUGGUGUGGCGAGUCUGGGACUUUGUUUGGAGGAAGCCCUUGAGUCCGAAGUGGCACCUUGGGCACGCCAAGAUAAGGACUCUGCCUACCGUCUUGCUAAAGAGUAGCACCUAUCAGUCAGAGGGAAGAGAGAGAACGCCAGCACUUGAAGCUAGAAGUCAGAUCUGAUGCUGAGUGAUUACGUUUGCUCUGGGCCUCACGUUUCCUUGUCUGGGCCUUGGGACCGUGAUGCCUGCUGCCUUGCCUGGCUGUCUUUGGGAGCAGCAGAGCAGAUGAAGACCAAACUCAAUUGCUGGAACAGACCCUUGAAACAGAAGGACAUUUUGUGCCACUUCUCCUGAACCCACAUGUGCAGUGGUUGGUGAGGGCAGCCUGACAGCCCAGCUCUGCCCCAGAGAGCCAGAGACAUGAACUGCAGGUCCACAGUGUCAGAGCUCAGGAGCCGCUAUGUGAGUUCUGCUUACUGUUCUUGUUAACUGGAGCAUGUCAUUCAAGGCUCACAUCAAGAAAGACUCGGAGCUAUACACCGGGAUCCCAAAUACCUGGCGUAGUCCUGGCCAGCUAAUAACACUUUCUAUUGGCUUAAACUCAUGUCCAAGCAGUCUUCUCUGGUGGAUACCCCAUAAAAAGACAAGGCUGUUAAUUCUUCCAGAGGCAGAUCUGGAUUGGGGUCCUCAUGGGACAGCCCACCUCCAAUACGGUCCUAGAGAAAAGAUGCCCAGAGGACUCCAGAGGUUCCCAGAAUCUAACCCUCCAGCCACACACCUAGAUAUCUACUUGAUUCAGGUUAUGUUUUGUUUUGGUUUGUGUUUGGUUUUGGUU
rnacentral:sRNA from 1 species